UACGUAGGGUGCAAGCGUUGUCCGGAAUUAUUGGGCGUAAAGAGCUCGUAGGCGGUCUGUUGCGUCGGCUGUGAAAACCCGAGGCUCAACCUCGGGCCUGCACUUGAUACUGCUCUGCUAGAGUACUGGAGAGGAGACUGGAAUUUACGGUGUAGCAGUGAAAUGCGUAGAUAUCGUAAGGAAGACCAGUGGCGAAGGCGAGUCUCUGGACAGUUACUGACGCUGAGGCACGAAGGCCAGGGGAGCAAACGGG
rnacentral:rRNA from 1 species